rnacentral:lncRNA from 1 species
AAGGGGGGAGCAGCGACUGGAUCUGAGGAGUGAGGAGGGGAGCAAGAGAGGUGGGAAGGGAGGCGCAGCCGGAGGUGGAGGAGGAGGCUGGAUUUGAGGAAGGAGGAGGGUCGAGGCCUACCGCCGAAUCUAGGGAGGGAUGUGCCCGGAGUUGAGGGAGGGAGAGGGAGGCGUCUAGGAGAGGAGGCCGUGGGAGAGAGCUAGGGUUGCAGCUGCUUUUUAUACUAUGGGAGCACGAUUAGAGCCAUCAGAUCGGGAAUGAACGGCCACAGAUAAUUGGGCUAUUUGGGUUGAAACGGCUCUUGUUUGCUUAAAAUUUUUCUUUUUCUUUUUCUUUUUCAUGUUAUUGCACCGUUGUGAAGCAACACACAAAAAUAUUUAUCUUAUAUAUACCAAUAUAUUUUUAAAAUGUAAUAAACAACAUCUAAUUUGUCAUAUAAGAGUUUUAUUAAUUUUUUAAUAGAAUUACUAUUUUUUAUCAUUUAAAUGAUUUGUUAUGUGCUUAUUGAAUGUAAUUCCAAGUUGAACUAUGCAUAUCUCUGAUAAGAUUUGAAAAAUUGUAAAAAAAAUUAUAUUUAGGCUCAUAUGUUUCAUUAUAGCCCAUAUCUUGGAGAUAGAUAAAAAAUUCAAUGGUUUUCUAGGGACAAUUCAAACUUCUAUCUCCAAAUUACCAUAUAAUAAUUACAAUAAUAUCUAAAUUUAGUUAGAAAAUGCUACAAAUUAACAUGACAACAUAUUUUGGGUCUACAAGCUUGUCAUAAAACUUUUACAAGAUUUUAUUAAAGAUUUACUAUAUAUUGUUUACAAAUGGAU